GAUGAACGCUGGCGGCGUGCUUAACACAUGCAAGUCGAACGGAAAGGCCCUGCUUGCAGUGUACUCGAGUGGCGAACGGGUGAGUAACACGUGGGUGAUCUGCCCUGUACUUUGGGAUAAGCCUGGGAAACUGGGUCUAAUACCCAAUAUGACAAUUGUUUGGAUGCGAUUGUGGAAAGCUUUUGCGGUAUGGGAUGAGCUCGCGGCCUAUCAGCUUGUUGGUGGGGUAAUGGCCUACCAAGGCGUCGACGGGUAGCCGGCCUGAGAGGGUGUACGGCCACAUUGGGACUGUGAGACAGGCCAGAGUCGGGCAGGAGGCAGCAGUGGGGAAAAUUGGACAAAGGGAGCAAGCGUGAGGCAGCGACGCCGCGUGGGGGAUAACGGCCUUCGGGUUGGAAGAACCUUUCGCGACCGACGAAGCCUUUUGGUGACGGUAGGUUGAGAAGAAGCACCGGCUAACUACGUG
rnacentral:rRNA from 1 species